GAUGAACGCUGGCGGCGUGCCUAAUACAUGCAAGUCGAGCGAAAAGACGAGGAUUUUGCUCCUCUGACGUUAGCGGCGGACGGGUGAGUAACACGUGGAUAACCUACCUAUAAGACUGGGAUAACUACGGGAAACCGGAUCUAAUACCGGAUAAUAUAUUGAACCGUGUGGUUCAAUAGUGAAAGACGGUUUUGCUGUCACUUAUAGAUGGAUCCGCGCCGCAUUAGCUAGUUGGUAAGGUAACGGCUUACCAAGGCAGCGAUGCGUAGCCGACCUGAGGGGGUGAUCGGCCACACUGGAGCUGAGACACGGUCCAGACUCCUACGGGAGGCAGCAGUAGGGAAUCUUGCGCGAUGGGCGAAAGCCUGACGGAGCAACGCCGCCUGAGUGAUGAAGGUCUUCGGAUCGUAAAACUCUGUUAGUAUUGAAGAACAAAUGUGUAUGUAACUAUGCACGUCUUGACGGUACCUGAACAGAAAGCCCCGGCUAACUACGUG
rnacentral:rRNA from 1 species